GCCAAGUUUCCUCCGGUCAGAUGGGUAUGAAAUAUUAAUAGUUUCAUGAAUGACACUUCAGAUAUAGCACUGUUGCUACAUAUAUAGCAUUUUCGGACCCGAGCUCGGGUCCGUGGGGCUUAAGAGGUUAAAGGGAACCACUUCCUGGCCUUCCUGACAUCCAGGAAAAAGGUGAGAUUCAAAUCCAUGUUAAUGCCAGAAGCAAUUUAUUGUUUUUAACUUUUUAAAUAUGAUUUGGGGCAUUUCAGUUUUAUUGGAAAGAGGCAGCAGAGAUCUACUGGAAACAGUGGAGAGGGAGGAGAUUAUAUGCAGCAAAAGGCCCACCCGGAUGGUUGCUGCUCCGUGUGGAACGUGUUCUAUCAGAAAGGAUCAUGCCAGCCCACAUCAAACACCUGAUCAAGAACUUGUGAAUCUUCAGGCAGAACAGAUGAAAACACCUGUUCAAAGUUCCAGUUCCCUACAUGGAACCAUGCCUGUCUGAGACUCUGUUCCACAUGUCUUCAGUCAGUCCUGGACCCUAUGACUAGGACACUAGUUCUACCAAGGCUUAUUAGAGAUAAUACAGCUGCACAAUUACAACAGGAACUCAUCUUUAGACGGUUAAUACAGAAGAUCUGCUACAUUGGAGGAUUCCAAAGCUGAGCUGGAAGGGGAAGUCACCACCUACAGGACAGCAAAUCUAAACAUUAAUUUGGAUAAACUAUUAAACCAGGUAUUUUCACAAAAAGAACAAUCUGAGAUACCUGAACAGCGUGAGCCGGCACCCUGGACACCCACACACCCCAAUAAUUACCCUUCAAAGAGCGAGCCACAUGGGAAGAUUGUUGUCAUUCACUUGCAAGGGGAGAUUCCAGUGCGUCCAGAGGUCUGGGCAAAAAUAAAAAAACAACACGAGGGACUCCAUGUUCGUGAAGGAGUUGGCUGUGGCGUUUUGGGGCACCGACACCUUAGGGGAAAGGAGCCUGACUGGAAAGGAAUGCCCCACCACCAAGACCACCAGGCAGCCUCUAACAAUUUGCUUCAAGCAGUGGCUGUACGAGAAAUACGUGGAGGACCAAGAAAUGCUGGCCGGAUUGGCAAAGACCGGAAGAUACAUAACAGAGAAGAUAAUGGAUAUUAACAAGAAAAAAAAAAAACUUUUAAAAAAAAUGUUUAUAAUUUAUUUAUUGCUAUUUACAUGUUGAAUUAUUUGUUAUUUCUAAAUCAAAUGCAUCUAUUACAGA